rnacentral:SRP_RNA from 1 species
GUUCAGAGCGAGGGCAACCGGGUAGCGUUGAUGGGUGGGUCUUGCGCGGCAGGAGCCUGCGAACCAGGUCAGGUCCGGAAGGAAGCAGCCUUAAGUGGUCCCUCCUGGGUGCCGCAAGGUUGCCUGGCCGGAGCUACUCGGUUGCCGUCGCCCUGAGC